rnacentral:RNase_P_RNA from 1 species
AAUGGAAGGUGAUCGAGCCUAGCAAUAGGUUAGGAAAGUCCAUGCUAGCACAUCCUGUGAUGGAUGUAGUGUUUGUGCCUAGGGAAACGAUAACCUAGGGUAUACGAAAGUAUAACGGCGAUGGAUGAGCUAAGGGAAACUAUGCUCUAAACUCAAAAGUGCCACAGAGACGAGCGUUUGGGAAACUAAACGAUGAAACGCGGUAAACCCCUCAAGCUAGCAACCCAAAUUUUGGUAGGGGCACAUCCCAAUGCUAACCGAAGCAGAAGGAUGCUACAAUGUAGAGAUAAAUGGUCACACCCGUAAGGGAACAGAACAUGGCUUAUGCAC